GAUUCGUAUAAAAUGCUGUUGUCCCCGCCGCUCCUCCUCCGCUAGGCUUAAAACUCCAUUUUCCUCAGCUAGGGUUUCUGCGUCUUCUCCGUCCCUGCAACAAUGGCUAGAGGAUUGAAGAAGCAUCUGAAGAGGCUCAAUGCCCCCAAGCAUUGGAUGCUCGACAAGCUCGGCGGCGCUUUCGCCCCGAAGCCAUCAU